ACUUAAAUUGAAGAGUUUGAUCAUGGCUCAGAUUGAACGCUGGCGGCAGGCCUAACACAUGCAAGUCGAGCGGUAGCACAGAGAGCUUGCUCUCGGGUGACGAGCGGCGGACGGGUGAGUAAUGUCUGGGAAACUGCCUGAUGGAGGGGGAUAACUACUGGAAACGGUAGCUAAUACCGCAUAACGUCGCAAGACCAAAGUGGGGGACCUUCGGGCCUCAUGCCAUCAGAUGUGCCCAGAUGGGAUUAGCUAGUAGGUGGGGUAAUGGCUCACCUAGGCGACGAUCCCUAGCUGGUCUGAGAGGAUGACCAGCCACACUGGAACUGAGACACGGUCCAGACUCCUACGGGAGGCAGCAGUGGGGAAUAUUGCACAAUGGGCGCAAGCCUGAUGCAGCCAUGCCGCGUGUGUGAAGAAGGCCUUCGGGUUGUAAAGCACUUUCAGCGGGGAGGAAGGCGGUGAGGUUAAUAACCU
rnacentral:rRNA from 1 species